rnacentral:tRNA from 1 species
GUGUAGCUUAGUUGUAGAGAAUCUGCUUUACAUGGAGAAGGUCCCUGGUUUAAUCCUUGGCAUCUCCA